CAUCUGGCCUUGUUGUGGAAAUUUUCAAGGGAUUUGCAGUAAUUAUAUGACAAAAUGCUUGCAAAUCUCACUCAUUGCUGAACAGAAACAGGCGGGUCAGGGAUUGAACACUUUCAGCUGGGUAAUUUGUAAAUGUCAAUCACGCAACAGGGCAGAGAGAGAGACAGAAAAAGAGGAGCCAGGAAAAGACUGUAGCAACCUCAGUGUAAGAGGCUUCUUCACCCUCCCCAAGCCGGCAGUGGAAAGGGCCAGGCCAAAGUCAAGGCAGAAGACACGCGGAGUGCGCACUACAAUCCACGUGAAGGACCUAAAGGAUGGGGGUGAGGAAACUGAGGCUUGGCGAGGCUGUGAUUUUGGCUCAAGAUAAUUUGCUCCUUAACAAGAAGAGCAUGGAUUUGAACCUAGGCUCACUGACUCCACAUCCUUUCCACCACUGCCUUCAAGGAGCUUAUUCCUACCAGCUUCAUUUGAGGAACUACACACAUUCUUCGAGCACACACCUGUCACACCACCACUACGUCGCGUGAACGGCAAACCUGACAAGCUGUGAACAGAACAAGAUACCAUUCUUCUGAAGCAGGACUGUCCAGCUCUCCAGAUUCCAAGGAUCUUUUUUAGCAUCUCAGUCAUUUGACACCCCACCAACCACAGGCACUCACAAGCGCACUGGAUGGUUCUAUUUCUAAACACCUGUAAAUUGAGAAAAGCGCCCAAUGACCCAAAGCUACAACAAACCCAAGCACACUUUUAAAGGAAUUUUAAUUUUCAUCACCAUAUUCUUGGGGGAAAAAAAUUAAAACACAGGCAAAUAAGACAGAAGUCCUGCAGUCUACACUUUUGUCAUGAUCUCCAAAGGGGGGUUAUGUUGACAGCCACAGGGCCACUCCAGCAGAGCCGGAAGGUGUUUCUCUUACAGCUUUAAACUGGAGUCUCACCUGCCCACACUGCCUGGAGUGCGCCAUUCACUCCUCAGAGGAGCAGCAAGGUGCCCGGGCUCCUUCCCUGUGCUGAGCACGGCUCUAGAGGCCAGAGUUACAGUGGCAAACAAAACAGGGGACCAAAAGCCCGCUGUCCUGGAGCUCACUUUGCAUUCAUCAUUUUCUCAGUCUUGAAAUGAUUUUGUGAGAGGCACAAUUAUAUGCCUUGUCUUUCGUGAGUUAAAAGUGUUAACUUACGGAAUGUAACUCACAUAACCCUUCUGCAAUACUUGUUGGCAUUUCUUCCUCUUUAAAUGCACUGGAGGGAUUUCCCUGGUGGUCCAGGGGUUAAGAAUCUGCCUUGCCAUGCAGGGGACAUG
ensembl:lncRNA